rnacentral:rRNA from 1 species
UGGGGAAUAUUGCACAAUGGGCGCAAGCCUGAUGCAGCCAUGCCGCGUGUAUGAAGAAGGCCUUCGGGUUGUAAAGUACUUUCAGCGGGGAGGAAGGGAGUAAAGUUGAUACCUUUGCUCAUUGACGUUACCCGCAGAAGAAGCACCGGCUAACUCCGUGCCAGCAGCCGCGGUAAUACGGAGGGUGCAAGCGUUAAUCGGAAUUACUGGGCGUAAAGCGCACGCAGGCGGUUGAUUGAGUCAGAUGUGAAAUCCCCGGGCUUAACCCGGGAAUUGCAUCUGAUACUGGUCAGCUAGAGUCUUGUAGAGGGGGGUAGAAUUCCAUGUGUAGCGGUGAAAUGCGUAGAGAUGUGGAGGAAUACCGGUGGCGAAGGCGGCCCCCUGGACAAAGACUGACGCUCAGGUGCGAAAGCGUGGGGAGCAAACAGG